GAGAGUAUGGAACGCUUACUAUUGAAAGAAACCAUGUCAAUCAAGUGUACUAGAAUUUUAUUUUGAAACAUUACAUUACUUUUCACAACUAAGAAAAAAUAGUUUCUUUAAAAAUUUCAGGUCUUACAUAACUAUGAUUUCUGAUGAUAAGCAUUAUUCUAAGAGAUGUUUUAGAACCAUUCAGAAUGUUUUCAAAGCACCGACUCUACCUGAGCUGCACUUGUCAAACACGACAUGUCUGUGCUACUCGUAGAGCGGAUGGGAUGUCAUUCUUCCCAGCUUGUGAGCACGAUCUCUGGAGUAUCCACAUAGAAGUUUCUUCAGCGUCUUGUGGGAUUUCCCACUGCUCCAAGUUUCUCCCUGAACCCCAGUGGUGAUACUGUUGACCCUUGUUCUAUUUCUCUGCUACCAUCCAUGGAUGAGAUGAUGCUCCCCUCAUGAGAACCACUGGAGAGAAGAGAGAGACACAACGGAAAGGGAACACAAGCAGGGGGAGUGGGAGAGGGAGAAGCAGGCUUCCCGCCGAGCAGGGAGCCCAAUGCGGGGCUCGAUCCCAGGACCUUGGGAUCACGACCUGAGCCGAAGGCAGACGCUUCACGACUGAGCCGCCCAGGUGCCCCUAAACAAUUUUUUAAAAAGUGAUGUUUUGUGUGUUUCCACCAAAUGUUUUCUGAGGCUUUUCCCUCCAAGUGCUCAUUUGAACAAAGAAGUAAUUAGGAGCUCUUAUUUUGUAUAGGAGGGUAAGAAAUUCAAUCCUUUGUGAUACGUCAUAGGGAGAAGCAUUCUGAAACUGCACAGUAUUUUUAAUGCAAUGAAUAUCUAAUAAGAAUGAAUCACUGAACUAAAAUCACAUGAAUUUAAACCUCUGGGUUACGUGUACAUGCUUUAAACACUGCUUCAAGGGGCGCCUGGGUGGCACAGUCGGUUGGGCAUCCGACUCGUAGUUUCAGCUCAGGUCAUGAUCUCGGGGUUGUGGGAUCCAGCCCUCUGGGGCUCCGUGCUCAGUGCCCAGUCUGCUUGAGAUUCUCUCUCCCUCUCCCUCUGCCCCUUCUGCUUGUGCUCUCUCUCUCAAAUAAAUAAGUCUUUAAAACAAAAAACGAAACACCACUUCAACAAUAAGAUAAGAAAUUUAAAAAAAUUCUGCUUGCAAAAUACCCCUACUACGAAAGUGAACUAUACUGAAGGAGAACAUUGAUGAUUCCUUACUUUUUGGCUUGACAUUCUUUGGAAAUUUUCUUUAUGUAUUUUGAUGUUUUGAUUUCAUAUGUAGUAUUCACAAUUCUUGAGUGUAUGAGAAGGAGGAAGAUUUUACGAAUAUAAGGUAAUAUUGCUGUUUCAAGUGAGAAGAAUCAUUAAAUUUUAAAAAUAUUGCUUAACCAAAAUUACCUUUAGUUAUAGAGGAAUAUAUGGUCGAAGCUAGAAUAUGGAUGGUAAAAUAUUUGCCAUUAUAAACCUGCUGAUACCUGGUGAUUAUUUUUUUUUAAAGAUUUUAUUUAUUUAUUUGAGACAGAGAGAAUGAGAGAGAGAGAGAGAGCACAUGAGAGGGGGGAGGGUCAGAGGGAGAAGCAGACUCCCCACUGAGCAGGGAGCCUGAUGCGGGACUCGAUCCCGGGACUCCAGGAUCAUGACCUGAGCCGAAGGCAGUCACUUAACCAACUGAGCCACCCAGGCGCCCUGUAGUAGUGUUUCAUUAUCAUAAUUUGGAUUGCCUUAAUGACUGAUGACAUUGAACAUAUUUCCAUGUGCUUAUUUUCUCAUUUGCAUAUCUUCUAUAAAAUGUUCUAAUCUUUUGCUCAUUUUUCUCUUGUUUGUCUUAUAUAUGCUGGAUACAAGUCUUGUCAGUCCUACAUAUUGUGAUGUUUUCUCCUGGUCUGUUGCUUACCUUUUUGUUUUUUUAACAGUGUCUUUUUUUCUUUUUUAAGAUUUUAUUUAUUUAUUUGAGACAGAAUGAGAGAGAGAGAGAGCUCAUGAGAGGGGGGAGGGUCAGAGGGAGAAGCAGACUCCCCGCCGAGCAGGGAGCCCGAUGCGGGACUCGAUCCAGGGACUCCAGGAUCAUGACCUGAGCCGAAGGCAGUCGCUUAACCAACUGAGCCACCCAGGCACCCGAUACCUGGUGAUUAUUAAUUAAUUGUGAUUAGUUGACAUAAUGUUCAGAAAGUCAUAGCCCCUGAUAUGUGACAACACUUUUGUUCAUUGUAUCACAAAGACACUUGUCUUCAUUGCCAUAGUCAUAAUCUGACUCAAAAGCAAAAUUAGCAAUAUUAAUUUUGUUUAUUAUUUUAAUAAAAUAUAUUGUUCCAUGUGAGUGAAUUUUCUAGAUAGGAGAAGUUCGCCACUUCAAGCACUGAUAUUGUCUUCAAUAUGACUGUAAGUUUCAUGAGGACAGGGACUAAGGCUUAUUUACUAUAUUUAAAGUAUAUUUCCUAGUACAAGUACUAUUAGGCACGGGCACUUAAAAUACACCUUUUGACUUUUACAUAGUUUAUUUUUCACAUCCUCAUAAAAGCAGCAGGGUUGGGUGGAAGAAAACCCAUAUGCAUACUCUGGUACAAUGAUUUGUUUAUAUGUUUUCAUGCUUUUGUAGACACUUAACUUCUGUUUGGUUCACCUCUGCAUCCUUGGCAACCAUCGUGGUGCCAGCUCAGUGGCUCUCACUAAAUGUCAAGUGGCUUGACCUGAACUGCUUUAGAGUUAGAAUUUCUGGGUGUAUGCUUUCACUUUGCCAAUUACUAGCUGAGUGACUUUUUGCCAGUUAUUCUCCUUUUUUUUUUUUUAAAGAUUUUAUUUAUUUAUUUGACAGAGAGAGACACAGCGAGAGAGGGAACACAAGCAGGGGGAGUGGGAGAGGGAGAAGCAGGCUCCCCGCAGAGCAGGGAGCCCGAUGCGGGACUCGAUCCCAGGACCCUGGGAUCAUGACCUGAGCUGAAGGCAGUCACUUAACCAACUGAGCCACCCAGGCGCCCAGUUAUUCUCCUUGAGUCUCAAAUUUCUCAUCUGUAAUGCUGGGAAACUAAAGCAGAAUUGUUAUGAGACUUGUAUAAGGUACUGCCAUCAUAGGAAAACACCUAAAUUUAGAUUCAAAGACAAAGCUCCUUGUAAAACCAGUUGUGCAAGCGUUCCUGCUGCAUUGUCCCUAUCUAUAAUAGCUGUCUGGAUGAAUGGAUAAAGAAGAUGUGGUAUAUAUAUACAAUGGAAUAUUAUGCAGCCAUCAAAAGGAAUGAGAUCUUGCCAUUUGCAACGACGUGGAUGGAACUGGAGGGUAUUAUGUUGAGUGAAAUAAGUCAAACAGAGAAAGACAUGUAUCAUAUGACCUCACUGAUACGAGGAAUUCUUAAUCUCAGGAAACAAACUGAG